ensembl:lncRNA
UUUGUUUCUGCAUAUAGUUAUGCUUCUAAUUAAAAAUGUGUGUCUGAUUUCUAAUUUGAAUUUGUCUUGCUUCAAUUCUCAGCCAUUGCUUCUAUUCAUGCCUUUUCUUGUUAAGAGUUUAGAACUCUCCAGUACUUGCUAUUUCCUCUGUUUCAGAGUACAAUGAAUUUCUUUUAAGUGGUAUACAUGUCUGAAACGCACAUGUACAAACACACAGAGUAUCACAUCACCAUUAUCUGUGAUCAACAGCUCUAAAAAGUCUCAAAAAUGUGCAUGUAACAGUUGAAGUGUGUCCGGGAUAACAAGGUUAAGGGCUCUUCUUUUAUAAAGACCAGCUUGCUAAUAUCAAAAGAUAAUUAUUUCGCACCUUAUCAAAGAGAGGGCACUGGCAUCAAUUUUUGUCACCCACAGGGGCAGUAUCAGUUACUUGGUGGCCACCUCUUCUCCCUACUACAGUUAGCACGUAGCUCCAUGUUUGCUAUAGCAGUAGGGAAGCCUGGCCUAGCUGUGCUCACUUGGUGAUGGGGUCCAACAAGAUCAUAGCCUGAAGUGAUUAGCUCCACUGCUAAUGACAGAAUGGAUUUCCACUUUAUGGUAGAAAAAUGCAUUUUCUCUAUAUACCUGGUACACCCUGAAGUCCCAUCAUAAACCUCUGACACUGGCAGUAGAAGCCAAUUAAAAAACACUUUUUGGUGCUUAGACUUAGUUUUGGUCCUGAUGAAGAGGAACACUGCAAAAUCUCAAAGGAAGGACAAUUAGUCCUUACUUACAAAAGCACUUCACACUUGCACAAAGCCUCUUAGUGCAACUAUAUGACCCUAAAUACACACAGUUGAGGCAACAUACACAAGCUUACAAUCUAAUGAUAAGUCUUAAUACAUGGUUUAGGUGGCAUACAGCAUUUAUUUUUAUUUUGUAUGUUAGUAUUUUCUGCAGAAAAAAAGAGAAAAUACGAAAUAGUCUCCUAGGAAUUCCUCCCACCUCUUUUCCCUCUUUCCCCCCCCCCCAAAAGUUUUCACCUCCUACUAUCCUCUCCUCUUCCUCAGACAUAGAGUACAUCUGAUAAAAGAUAAGCAGGGAGGAGGGGACAAAGCUUCCUCCUUUUCUCUUCCUGACAGGUCUGAUGCAAAGAUUUGUUCUUGCAAUGGGCUCCUCAGCAAGAAGAGAACCUUCUGCUGUACAGGAAGGCCAUGGACAGAGUUUUACUACUACAAAAUCAAGUAAAAUCCCUUUUCUUAAAAGAAUCUUAAAUUAUGUUUGGCGAUACAUGGAAUCCUUCAGAAAUUUCUAGCAAAUUUGAUCCAUGAUUACCCUAUCAGAAACUAUCAAGAAAUGCAUUUAUUCUUAGAAACGUUGAUCUCCUUUUAUUAAUAUUUCUGCUUAUAUUUUAAAACACCAUGAAAAAACAAAUGAGUGGGAGAAGAUGGUGAGAAAUCUCUUUUCGGGUGAAAGAACGUAAGAGAUGUCUCCCUAUACACGGAAAGGCAGAAGCAAGAGGCAGAGACAGUGAGGAAGGGACUACGGAACAACACUGCUCAAAUCACAGACAGGCAGGAUCUAUUACAGGCACAAGUGGUAGUGAGAUAAACUACAAUCCAGAUGACUGAGCUGCUUCUAACCAUAAAAAUUAAAGAAUAAUAAUGGUUUAGAGGUAAUGUCUAUGACGCAUUAAACAGCAGUUUUAUUUUAAAUGAUGCAAAUCCAUCCCUAUGCAUAGAGCUUUAAUUGAAAAGCCAACAGAAAGUGUUGGCUGCUAGAUGGAAGGAGUGUGGGAAGCUGCUGCAAACAUGCAAAGUCUGUUUUAUUCAUGUGCACUAUCUUUGUUUUUAUUCACCAGAAAAGUCAAAGACUGAAUUCUGGUUAGUUUCGACUUGGUUUUAUACCAGAUAUGUAUAACUAAAAAGAAAAAGAGAAAGGAAAAAAAGAAAAAAGAGCAAAGGAACAGGCCAGAUGACAAAUGUACACAAAACACAUGGCCAAGGAUUUUACAAAGGCUUCCUCGCUCUUGGUGAGAAUUUUCCCAGGGAAGCUGCUGGAGUGAGGGAGAAAGGCAGGAAUGCUUUUGAGUUAAGUACCCUCUUCCCUAAAAAGAAAUAUAGUGCUGCCUCGGUUUUGACAUCUCUGAUGUGUAAACUCACAGUCAUAUUAAAAAAAAAAAAAAAAAA